AACGAACGCUGACGGCGUGCUUCAUACAUGCAAGUCGAGCGGAUGUAGCAAUACAUCAGCGGCGAACGGGUGCGUAACACGUGAACAAUCUGCCCUCAGGUUUGGGAUAACGGCUCCAACGAGCCGCUAAUACCGGUUAGGUUAGUUUGGUCGCAUGGCCGAAUUAAGAAAGGUGCAAUUGCAUCGCCUGAGGAUGAGUUCGCGGACCAUUAGCUAGUUGGUG
rnacentral:rRNA from 1 species